UACGUAGGGGGCGAGCGUUAUCCGGAUUUACUGGGCGUAAAGCGCGCGUAGGCGGUGAUCUUUGUCAGAGGUGAAAGCCCGGGGCUCAACUCCGGAAUUGCCUUUGAAACGGGAUCGCUUGAGUCCGAGAGAGGAUGGCGGAAUUCCUAGUGUAGAGGUGAAAUUCGUAGAUAUUAGGAAGAACACCGGUGGCGAAGGCGGCCAUCUGGCUCGGUACUGACGCUCAGGCGCGAAAGCGUGGGGAGCAAACAGG
rnacentral:rRNA from 1 species